GGCUCUAGUAGCGUAUAUUAAAGUUGUUGCAGUUAAAAAGCUCGUAGUCGGACUUCGGGCUGGGCUGUGAAGGCCCACCGCAAGGUGGGACGGAUAGCCUGGUCUUACCCUCUGAUGUGCUCUCUGCUCUUAACUGAGUGGAUCUGUCGCACAGAGGCGUUUACCUUGAGCAAAUUGAGGUGUUCAAGGCAGGCAAAAAUGCUCGUACACGUUAGCAUGGGAUAAUAGAAUAGGGCCUUGGGUUCGCUGUUGCUGGUUGGUGAACCCAGGCAAUGAUCAACAGGGGCGGUCGGGGUGCUUCAUAUGCAGACGCUAGAGGUGAAAUUCUUGGACCGUCUGCAGAUGCCCAGAUGCGAAAGCGUUGCACCAGUACGUCCCCA
rnacentral:rRNA from 1 species